CGGCACGUCAUCCCCAAUGCUGCUUGCCGUCUUGAGCUGACUGCGGAAGAGCACUGCGCCUCUGGACUCCUGACCGGAGCUGGGCGAGGGAAUCAUCAACGGGACCAGACAGUGGCGGGAUUGAUUGGACGUGAUCUUGCGCGAGGUAAGGAUUGCUGGGUUGGGAAAGCGAACGCAGAUGUUGUUGGUCUUGGUAAUGGAAAAUCUGCUGCUCCGGGACUUUGAAGUCUUGACGGUGGUCAUAGGUUGGCGAUUGAGCAGGUUCUUGAGAGUCCAGCAGCGGCUCUGAUGAAGUGGUGUGAAGUUUAAGGAAGUCAGUGGCAUGUGUGGGGUGUGUCCAAAACACUUAUGUCAGGACUUCAGCUCACACUGUCAGUUUGGAUUCGUAUGAAUUAAACAAACACCAGACGAG